UCGGGAAUUUUGGGCAAUGGGCGAAAGCCUGACCCAGCAACGCCGCGUGAGGGAUGAAGUAUUUCGGUAUGUAAACCUCGAAAGAAUGGGAAGAAUAAAUGACGGUACCAUUUAUAAGCUCCGGCUAACUACGUGCCAGCAGCCGCGGUAAUACGUAGGGAGCAAGCGUUGUUCGGAUUUACUGGGCGUAAAGGGCGCGUAGGCGGCGCGGUAAGUCACUUGUGAAAUCUCUGAGCUUAACUCAGAACGGCCAAGUGAUACUGCUGUGCUAGAGUGCGGAAGAGGCAACCGGAAUUCUUGGUGUAGCGGUGAAAUGCGUAGAUAUCAAGAGGAACACCUGAGGCGAAGGCGGGUUGCUGAGCCGACACUGACGCUGAUGCGCGAAAGCCAGGGGAGCAAACG
rnacentral:rRNA from 1 species